rnacentral:snRNA from 1 species
GGACAUGAGGGUGAUCUGGCUGUGACAUCUGUCACACCCCACAGAUCAAUUGCCAGUGCUGAUUCGGCUGAUAUGGCUCAUCACUCCAUGUAUGUCUCUCCUGAAGCUGCACGCUCGGUCAAAGAUGACGACCUUUCCCAAAUAGAGGACCAGUCUUCGGUGAAGAGUAUACGAGUAGCUGCACUUCCCUGCAAACUAGAACCUCCAAACAAGUUCCCAAAUAAGCAAAUUACAAAAAUAAGUAAAUAUUUUUAAAAAAGAUUUU